rnacentral:rRNA from 1 species
AUGGCCAUGAAGAAACGAGAGUUUCGCAACUUGCGCCAAGGAGGAUGGACAGUUGGCCAGUAUGUGGAGCACUUUAGUAAGUUAGCACGUUAUGCCCCAGAAGACGUAGCUACGGAUGCAGCUAAGCAGGAGAAGUUUCUAGAAGGACUGAAUGAUGAGUUGAGCAUGCAGUUGAUGGUAGCAACCUUCAAUAACUACCAGGAGUUGGUAGACCGUGCUCUCAUGAUUGAAGGGAAGCAGCAGCAGAUUGAGAAUCGCAAGAGGAAGUAUGGACAAGGGAAGUACAAUUCUGGAGCUCAGCAGAAGCCACGUUUUACCCCUAGACCGGGAGGACAUUUUCAGCAUAUCCAUGGAGGAGGUAGCUCGCACAAUCACAAUGGCACCAAGAAUAGUAAUGGGAAUGGAGGAAGCAACGGCCAGAAC